rnacentral:misc_RNA from 1 species
UCCCUGUUACCAGGGCAGUCUGACUAGAAAAAUUCAACUAGCCACAAGGGUUGCGCUCGUUGAUGGACUUAACCAAACAUCUCACGACACGAGCUGACGACGGCCAUGCAACACCUGUCAUUUGGUUCCCGAAGGCACACUCUGCUUUCGCAGUGCUUCCAAAGAUGUCAAGCCUGGGUAAGGUUCUUCGCUUACCAUCGAAUUAAACAACACGCUCCACCGCUUGUGCGGGUCCCCGUCAAUUCCUUUAUGUUUUAGUCUUGCGACCGUACUCCACAGGUGGGAUGCUUAACGCGUUAGCUUCGCUACUACCAGGGUCGAUACUGAUAACAGCUAGCAUCCAUAGUUUACGGCGUGGACUAC